rnacentral:rRNA from 1 species
CCUACGGGUGGCAGCAGUGAGGAAUAUUCGUCAAUGGGCGCGAGCCUGAACCAGCCAAGUAGCGUGAACGAUGACUGCCCUACGGGUUGUAAACUUCUUUUAUAAAGGAAUACAGUGAGGCACGUGUGCCAUUUUGUAUGUACUUUAUGAAUAAGGAUCGGCUAACUCCGGGCCAGCAGACGCGGUAAUACGGAGGAUCCGACCGUUCUCCGGAUUUAUUGGGUUUAACGGGAGCGUAGAGUGGUUGUUAAGUCAGUUGUGAAAGUUUGCGGCUCAAACGUAAAAUUGCAAUGGAUACUGGCAGCCUAGAGUACAGUAGAGGUAGGCGGAAUUCGUGGUGUAGCGGUGAAAUGCUUAGAUAUCACGAAGAACUCCGAUUGCGAAGGCAGCUUACUAAACUGCCACUGACAUUGAUGCUCGAAAGUGUGGGGAUCAAACAGGAUUGGAUACCCUUGUAGUC